CACUCAAUAUUCCAUGACACAAGACAAAUACUUGUAUGAAAACGUAAAGACUGUCUAAAUAAGGUUAGAGGGUUUUUCUUACUGGCAGAUAAAGCUGAGCAGGUUGAAGUUUGCAACUGGCAACUCAUGAAGAAGAUUCCUCAACUCCCCCAAAACCUGAGAGAGGAAGAAUAAGAGGAUGGGAGUCAGGAGUCUUAAUGUUUUAGUGCCAACGCCCUACACCUGUAAACACACCCAAACAGUGAUGUCACGGCGUCCUGGAGUACACUUGUACAUCACUGCAGCCAGGACUUGAAGCAGCUGAGUCCCAUGCUGCAGACGCUCAGCGCAGAUUACACACCACAACGACGACGGCGAUGUGAACAAUGUUUUUUUUUUUUUGCAGAAAGUUUAGAGGCUGAGACGGCAGCGGUGCAUAAAAUAUAAACACAUCACUUGUGAUUUUCUUUUUCGUCAGUCUCAGGUCCCAACGGUAUCACCACCCAGAGUAGAAAGACAUCCUGGUUGAUGUAUGGCCAUGAAGAGUUGUUCCUGAGGGCAAAAAAGCCUU